rnacentral:lncRNA from 1 species
CGGGUUUAGUUUUCUGUAAUAAGUUAAUACUUUAGUUUCAUUAUGAAUAUAUCUUUCACAUUCAUUUGUUAAAAUUUACUGUUUGCAAUAGCAUGAAUCGUUCUAUAUAAUAGUGUUCUUAUCCCGGGCAUAAUACAAUGCCGUAUUUAGCAAAACCUUUUCAACUUUUGAUCUUCAGUGCUGUACAACUUUGUACUUUUUUCACUUUCGAUCUUGUAUAUCUGGGCGUUAUGUAUUCGGGUUUAGUUUUCUGUAAUUAGUUUUUACUUCAGUUUCAUUAUGUAUAUCUCUUUCAUAUUCAUUUGUUAAAAUUUACUGUUUGCAAUAGUGUGAAUUGUUUUAUAUAAUAUGAAUGUUCUUAUCCUGGUCAUACAAACAAUGCCGUAUUUGGCAAAACCUUUUCAACUUUUGAUCUUCAGUGCUGUACAAUUUUGUAUUUUUUUCGUCACUGGUGAGUCUCGUGUGGACUAGACGCGUUUUUGGGGUAUUGAAUUUUAAACCUGAUGCUUUUUGUUAUCUAUUAAUAAU